GCCUUCGUGGUAUAGUGGUCAGCACGCUCGGCGCGUAUUCGAGAGGUCCGUGGUUCGAGCCCCAGCAAGGGCA
rnacentral:tRNA from 1 species